AUGCUUUAGCAGCAUAUUUACUAAAAUUGGAAGAGUCAAGAGAAGACUAGCAUGGCCCUUAAACAGGAUAACAUGCACAUCCAUGAAAUGUCCCAUAUUUUC
ensembl:snRNA U6 U6 spliceosomal RNA